ensembl:lncRNA novel transcript
AGAACGACUCUUGCAGUGUUCACUUUGUGAAGGUUUUCUCAACUGUUCUCUUAACAAAAAUUAGCACAUAUUUGUUUUUAGUUCAUACUGAGAUUUGUAGGACGAGGACCUCAGACCCACAGUUCCUGAGCAAUUAUUCUGUAAUUUUUCUUGUCACUUUAUAAUUUAAUUCCUAAAGUAUUAGAAAUAAAUUCAAUCUUACAGUAAUCUCUAUUUCCUUUUUUUUCUUUUAAAAAACACUGGAAAACAACAAUACCACUGGUUUCUUAGAUUUUUGCAAGGAUCACAGCUGAAAAAACAUCAAAGAAAUGAAGGAUUCCGGAAGCUCUGGUAAAAACACAAAGGAUUCUUCCAGGCUUCUUUUCUCUUGCGUUUUAAAGAUAAAUGGUAAAACUGAACUGGAAAUCCAUCUGGCCGGCUGCCUGCUCUAAUGAAUAACCCCACUUUGGCUCGUGCAAUGACUUCUUCCCUUUGGAAUGCAAGUGCGGUGGCAGUGUCAAGGAUGCCUGUGUGUUUGCAGCAGGUUCCUUCCAGAAGCAGCUGCAAGUGCCACCUCCAGGCCAUCUGGCCAAUGUGAGGAAAGGAGGCUGCAAGGGCUUGGCAAAAACAACUUUCUGUUCCUCUGGUAUCCCCUGAUAACUGAUUUCAAGUUAUGGCCAAGGACUGCCUUAUCGCCGUCAGUGGCUGUCAAAAAUUUAUAAGUAUAUUCAUUUCCCUAUUCAACUUAAUUGGUAUUUUGGGUAUGACACUAGAAAAGCAAGUUAGACUUGCCUGUUGGAGUCCAAGGAUACCUCCAACAAAAUUCUAGACAAUAAAAGAAAGGGUAAGUGUCUGAGGGGAGGGGGCACUUACAAAUUAUUCCAUUUAAUGCUAAUUCGAGGCUUCCAGAUUCAUUUUGGGAAAAUCAAAGAGCAAGAGCUGUAUGCAUGGCUUUUUAAAACACAAAGAAAAUUGGGAAGCAUGGGCUUCCCAAUUUUCCUGCGCAUAAACUUCUAGAACAAUUUCUAUUGUUGAUACUUUAAAAAAAAUCUUUUUCUUUUCUGUGAUGUGGUCUUUUAAACUCAUACCACAACUUAUGGCUCCCUCUACUUCCUAUAUUUUAAUUGAUCUUGAGGUUAUUUUCAAGUCACUGGGCUUAAUGAACAAAUAUUUUAGAAUUUCUUCCUUUAUAUACACUCAUUUCUGUCUCAAUAAAAUGUCUAAUCAGGAAUUCACUUGUGUAGAAAAUAAAAAAUAGAAGUACAUACCCUUCAAGUGAA